rnacentral:rRNA from 1 species
UGGGGAAUAUUGCACAAUGGGCGCAAGCCUGAUGCAGCCAUGCCGCGUGUGUGAAGAAGGCCUUCGGGUUGUAAAGCACUUUCAGCGAGGAGGAAGGUGGUGAGCUUAAUACGCUCAUCAAUUGACGUUACUCGCAGAAGAAGCACCGGCUAACUCCGUGCCAGCAGCCGCGGUAAUACGGAGGGUGCAAGCGUUAAUCGGAAUUACUGGGCGUAAAGCGCACGCAGGCGGUUUGUUAAGUCAGAUGUGAAAAUCCCCGGGCUCAACCUGGGAACUGCAUUUGAAACUGGCAAGCUAGAGUCUCGUAGAGGGGGGUAGAAUUCCAGGUGUAGCGGUGAAAUGCGUAGAGAUCUGGAGGAAUACCGGUGGCGAAGGCGGCCCCCUGGACGAAGACUGACGCUCAGGUGCGAAAGCGUGGGGCAGCAAACAGGAUUAGAUACCCUGGUAGU